rnacentral:rRNA from 1 species
UUAAGUCAGAUGUGAAAGACCCGGGGCGUUAACCUCGGAAUUGCAUUUGUAAACUAGGCAGGCUAGAGUCUUGUAGAGGGGGGUAGGAAGUUUCAGGUGUAGCGGUGAAAUGCGUAGAGAUCUGAAGGAAUACCAGUGGCGAAGGCGGCCCCCUCGGACAAAGACUGACGCUCAGAUGCGAAAGCGUGGGGAGCAAACAGGAUUAGAUACCCUGGUAG